rnacentral:rRNA from 1 species
UAGGAAAUUUGAGAGGAGCUGUCCUUAGUACGAGAGGACCGGGAUGGACAUACCUCUGGUGUACCAGUUGUCGUGCCAACGGCAUAGCUGGGUAGCUAUGUGUGGACGGGAUAAGUGCUGAAAGCAUCUAAGCAUGAAGCCCCCCUCAAGAUGAGAUUUCCCAACUUCGGUUAUAAGAUCCCUCAAAGAUGAUGAGGUUAAUAGGUUCGAGGUGGAAGCAUGGUGACAUGUGGAGCUGACGAAUACUAAUCGAUCGAAGACUUAAUCAA